rnacentral:rRNA from 1 species
UACGUAGGGGGGCAAGCGUUGUCCGGAAUCAUUGGGCGUAAAGAGCGUGUAGGCGGCCCGAUAAGUCCGCUGUGAAAGUCCAGGGCUCAACCCUGGGAUGCCGGUGGAUACUGUCGGGCUCGAGUCCGGAAGAGGAGUGUGGAAUUCCUGGUGUAGCGGUGAAAUGCGCAGAUAUCAGGAGGAACACCAAUGGCGAAGGCAGCACUCUGGGACGUGACUGACGCUGAGGCGCGAAAGCGUGGGGAGCGAACAGG